UACGUAGGGGGCAAGCGUUGUCCGGAUUUAUUGGGCGUAAAGAGCGUGUAGGCGGCCAGGUAGGUCUGGUGUGAAAACUCGAGGCUUAACCUCGAGAUGUCAUCGGAAACCAUCUGGCUAGAGUCCGGAAGAGGAGAGUGGAAUUCCUGGUGUAGCGGUGAAAUGCGCAGAUAUCAGGAAGAACACCAAUGGCGAAAGCAGCUCUCUGGGACGGUACUGACGCUGAGACGCGAAAGCGUGGGGAGCUAACAGG
rnacentral:rRNA from 1 species